UACGUAGGGGGCGAGCGUUGCUCGGAAUUACUGGGCGUAAAGGGUGUGUAGGUGGCUGAGCAAGUCAACGAUGAAAUCCCGAGGCUCAACUUCGGAAUUGUCUUUGAUACUGCUUGGCUUGAGGACAGUUGAGGAGGGCGGAAUUCCCGGUGGAGCGGUGAAAUGCGUAGAUAUCGGGAGGAACACCUGAGGCGAAGGCGGCUCUCUAAACUGCUCCUGACACUGAGACACGAAAGCUAGGGGAGCAAACGGG
rnacentral:rRNA from 1 species